ensembl:lncRNA
AGCUUUUUGACCCACAUAAGCAGGCCGUAAGUACAUCUUUAUAUUUAAUUUACUAAUUACUUCUGUUGUCUUUGAAAUAUGGUUAAAGUAUUGUUGAAUGUACUGACAAGCUAUUAUGGUAAAAUAAAAUAAAAAAUUGAUGUCAUUUCUAUUGAAACUUUUAUGUCAUGUAUUUAAAUUUGUAAUUAGCUACAGUUUCGGUGCCUUGCUCAAAGGCACCUCAGUCGUGGUAUUGCCGGCCUGAGACUCGAACCCACAACCUUAGGGUUAGGAAUCAAACUCUCUAACCACUAGGCCACGACUUCCCCACAUAAAUACACAUGCAAGACAAUUGAAUGCACUUCUUUUUCACAUAGGGCUGCUAAAGUGAUAUUAGAAUGAAUAAAUAAAUCAAAUUCCUAAAUGCAGAUUUAACAAGCUGGGUUUGGAUAAGGUCUCUGGCGCAGAGGAGCCCCCAUCUCACUGCCAGGUGGAGGAGAUCCACAUGUUCCAGCCCGUCCACUCGGCUCUCUAAAUGUUGAGAAGAUUGUGUUUAUAGACAUCGGUACAGCACACUCUGUUGCAGUCACAGAGAAAGGUCAGUGUUUCAGUAACCAGCAUGGGCAGCUUGGUUGCAGUUCCCGCCAAAGCAGCUGAGUGCCCUAUCAAGUGUCAGGACUGCAGGAGAUCACCAUAGCCGCGUGUGGCGAUGCUUUCACUCUGCCUAUCGGAGCAGGAUCUGACAUGCAAAGAAACAGAAGGACAAAGAUGUCAUUCAGCCAAAUGAUGUUCAGAACUGUGAGUAAAUGCUCUGCUCCUUGAUUCGGCAGAGGGGGGAGUGUACACCUGGGGUAAAGGGGCAUGUGGUCGGCUUGGACGGAAAGAAGAGGAUUCUGGGAAACCAAAGGCAGUGCAGCUUGAUGAGAGCCACCCUUACACUGUCACGUCAGUGGCUUGUUGCCAUGGAAACACACUGUCGGCUGUGAAACAUAAUGUGUAGCCAUAAUUUCUUUUAUGAAUGUUAACAGUUCUUGAAUAGACAUUUAUUGUAAUUAUCUACUGUUGAUUUGGACUUACAAAGGUUGUUGUCAUUGUUAAAACACACUGACUAUAUUCUCCCUCAUAAUUUCUCUCCUCAGCUUUUUUUGAAGAGCCCGUUCCAAAGUGACAUCACUGCCUCUGCCCAAAUCACUGCACACACUCAGCUCCUGUCCAUGAGGACACUAGUGUGGAUUCAUUAAGAAUUUUAAGCUAUGCAGUUGUGUUAAUAAUGUAACAGACACUGUAUGUAAAGCUUUUUAUAACAACAACAACAAUUAUUAUUAUUAUUUUUAUGUAGCAUUGUAAAUAAUGCCUGGUUUCUCAACAAGGUCUGACUGCCUUGAAGAAAAACACAACAAAACAACUAUAUGAAGAUAAUUAUGUGCUGCUUAUGUUAACACAUAAUUUAACAACAAUUGAAACUGUUAAAACACAGUUUCUAAAGUGUAUUGUAA